UACAGAGGGUGCGAGCGUUAAUCGGAAUUACUGGGCGUAAAGCGCGCGUAGGCGGCUUUGCAAGCCGGAUGUGAAAUCCCCGGGCUUAACCUGGGAACUGCAUUCGGGACUGCAUUGCUCGAGUAUGGGAGAGGGAAGUGGAAUUUCAGGUGUAGCGGUGAAAUGCGCAGAUAUCAGGAGGAACACCGGUGGCGAAGGCGGGUCUCUGGGCCGAUACUGACGCUGAGGAGCGAAAGCGUGGGGAGCGAACAGG
rnacentral:rRNA from 1 species